rnacentral:pre_miRNA from 1 species
AGGAGGAACAACCACAGUGGCGGUGGUCAGCUCUGGAGCCCUGAAUUCAGCUCCCGCAGUAACUCCAGAGCUCUCUGCAGGGCCUGGAGGUUCCGGGGUGGG